rnacentral:tRNA from 1 species
GCAUCCAUCGUAUAACGGCUAUUAUAGGUGACUUCCACUCACUUGAUAAGGGUUCGAUUCCCUUUGGAUGCU